rnacentral:sRNA from 1 species
AUAGAUGUUCGGGAAAAAUGUUAUUUAAUACCUGAACUUUCAAAAAAUGGUCAAAUUAACCGUGAAUUUUUGAAAUGACCGUUUUAUACUUCAAUAAAUAGUUGAUUUCUAAUUUAACCUAUAAAUUAUCGUUGAUUCGGCCAAAUCGACUCACCGUUAACACUUCUUAACAGCUCUCCUAACAGCGUAACUAACAAUUGUUUUCGUCCUUAAACCAACGACAACGGCUGUUAGGCCAUGUUUUGUAAUGGCUGUUAGGAGCGCUAUUAAGAAAUGUUAACGGUGAGUUGAUUUGGUCGGGUCGACGAUAAAUUAUAGGUUAAAUUAGAAGUCAACGAUAAAUUAUAGGUUAAAUUAAAAGUCAAUUUUUUGUUGAGGUAUAAAACGACCAUUUCAAGAGUUCACGGUUAAUUUGGCCAUUUUUUGAAAAUUCAGGUAUUAAAUAACAUUUUUCGAUGUUCUAUACUUCUUCUAUAUUUGAUUCCAUGAUUUCUGUAUGCAUUAUGGUCCAAAAUGUCCUAACAGAUUUCUU